rnacentral:rRNA from 1 species
AGUGAACGCUGGCGGCAGGCCUAACACAUGCAAGUCGAACGGCAGCACAGUAAGAGCUCGCUCCUACGGGUGGCGAGUGGCGGAUGGGUGAGGAGUACAUCGCAAUCCUCUUUUACUUGGGUGAUAACGUGGGGCCACUUACGAUAAUAGAGAAUAUGAUCAACGGGUGAAAUCAGGGGAUCUACGGGCUUUGGCUGAUACUAAGAGACGAUGUCGGAUUAGCUAGUUGGCGGGGUAAAGGCCCACCAAGGCGACGAUCCGUAGCUGGUCUGAGAGGAUGAUCAGCCACACUGGAACUGAGACACGGUCCAGACUCCUACGGGAGGCAGCAGUGGGGAAUAUUGGACAAAGGGCGCAAGCCUGAUCCAGCCAUGCCGCGUGAGUGAAGAAGGUCUUCGGAUUGUAAAGCCCUUUUAUUAGGGAAGAAAAGCAGUAUGUUAAUACCUCGCUGUUUUGACGGUACCCAAAGAGUAAGCACCGGCUAACUUCGUG